rnacentral:rRNA from 1 species
CCUACGGGUGGCAGCAGUGAGGAAUAUUGGUCAAUGGGCGCGAGCCUGAACCAGCCAAGUAGCGUGAAGGAUGACUGCCCUAUGGGUUGUAAACUUCUUUUAUAAAGGAAUAAAGCGCAGUAUGUAUACUUCUUUGCAUGUACCUUAUGAAUAAGGAUCGGCUAACUCCGUGCCAGCAGCCGCGGUAAUACGGAGGAUCCGAGCGUUAUCCGGAUUUAUUGGGUUUAAAGGGAGCGUAGGUGGGUUGUUAAGUCAGUUGUGAAAGUUUGCGGCUCAACCGUAAAAUUGCAGUUGAUACUGGCAGCCUUGAGUACAGUAGAGGUAGGCGGAAUGCGUGGUGUAGCGGUGAAAUGCUUAGAUAUCACGAAGAACUCCGAUUGCGAAGGCAGCUUGCUAGACUGUGACUGACACUGAUGCUCGAAAGUGUGGGUAUCAAACAGGAUUAGAUACCCGUGUAGUC